GUGAGGAAUAUUGGUCAAUGGGCGAGAGCCUGAACCAGCCAAGUCGCGUGAAGGAAGAAGGAUCUAUGGUUCGUAAACUUCUUUUGCAGGGGAAUAAAGUGCGGGACGUGUCCUGUUUUGUAUGUACCCUGAGAAUAAGGAUCGGCUAACUCCGUGCCAGCAGCCGCGGUAAUACGGAGGAUCCGAGCGUUAUCCGGAUUUAUUGGGUGUAAAGGGUGCGUAGGUGGUUUGAUAAGUCAGCGGUGAAAGUUUGCAGCUUAACUGUAAAAAUGCCGUUGAAACUGUCGGACUUGAGUGUAAAUGAGGUAGGCGGAAUGCGUGGUGUAGCGGUGAAAUGCAUAGAUAUCACGCAGAACUCCGAUUGCGAAGGCAGCUUACUAAGCUACAACUGACACUGAAGCACGAAAGCGUGGGGAUCAAACAGGAUUAGAAACCCGAGUAGUCC
rnacentral:rRNA from 1 species